rnacentral:rRNA from 1 species
AUGGCAGGAACACAAAGACUCAUAGGAAAUGAAAAAAAAGCACAAAAUCACCAAGAGAAUGUUCUCCCACCACCCUACACCAGAGCGGCAAUCGUCAAGAUUGCCUUGUGCAGGAACCAUCAAGAGCAGUUCAGCGAAUCAGGAUACGGUGCAAGGUUGAUUGGAAAUGACGCUGUAAAUGACACUACACAAGUCCCCUUUGGAGAAAUGCCCAAACCAAGGGAUUCCAUUGCCCAUCACGGCAAAAAUGUAAGGUCCAUCAGUCUGUUCAGAAAUUAUGCCCACUAUGGCUUAACAAAACCAAUUCAUAUAUGA